UUUAAUAUGGCAGAAAAAGUGCAAUAGAUUUAAAUCCUAUAAAUAAAGAUUCAAAUCUUUUAUUAAA
rnacentral:tRNA from 1 species